GUCUUCCUAGCCAGGCAGGAAGGGACGAGGCAUUCCCAAAGGCGUCUUUUGCCCCCUGCCGGUGAUUUCUGACCUCCUUCGUGCAAAGGUGGCCUCCUCACACCCCAAAAAGUUGCCCCACUUCCUGCACCCCACCACGAUUUCCCCCCCCUUUUACACCCCAAAACGUGCCCUCUUCCAGCAGACCACCUCAUCCCGACCCCUUUUUCUGCCCCACACAGGAGCCGGUGGGACAGAGCCGGAGAGCCCGCAGCUCCCCAGGAAACAGCAAACCAAGGAGGCUGCAUCUGACCGCGAGACGUGCAUCAGAGGAGAUGCGGCACGCGACAAAGCCCACGGACGUUUUCUCCUCAUUUUCUGCAUGGGGGAGUGAGAGAAAAGAGGUUUUUGGCCAGAAAAUACACUUGCUCCAAGGUGGUCCUCCUUGGGGUGGAAAGUGGAGGUCUGCUCCUGUCUGGUCCUUCUUGGUCUGGAGCACGGGUAUCAGCUCCAACACAGUCCUCCUCGCGUUGCUGAGUUGGAGAGUGGAUAUCUGCUCCAACGUGGUCCUCCAUGGGUUGCAAAGGGGAGAUCUGCUCCUAUCUGGUCCUUCUUGGGUUGCAGAGUGGAUAUCAGCUCCAAGGUGGUUCUCCUUGGGUCGCAGCACGGAUAUCUACUCCAUGGCGGUCCUUCUUGGGUUGCUAAAUGGAGAUCUGCUCCAAGGUGGUCUUCCUCGAGCUCCGCAUUUGCGUCCUGGUGGCUUUUCCCCAGAAAGCCGAGUAUGGCCGAGUGGGAUAAAAACAGGGAAAAUGGGGAAAAGAGGGGAAAGGAGAAGGGAAAGGGAGAAAGAGACAGGAGAGGGGGUGGGAGGACGUGGCCCUGUGCACCUCCCGGGGGGCCCCAUCCCCAUCCAGGUCCCCAUCAAUGUCCCUGUCAAUGUCCUUGUCGAUGCCCCCAUCCGUGUCCCUGUCCCUGUCCCCAUUCAUCUCCCCGUCCCCGUCCCCCUCCCUGUCCCCUUCCCCAUCCUUGUCCCUAUCCAUGUCCCCUUCCAUGUCCCCGUCCCCGUCCCUGUCCCCAUCCCCAUCAGCUUCGCAGCGCCGCCGACCCAAGCAGCUCCCUUUCUGCCGGGGCACCCAUGGGUGGGGAGCGCCCUCCUGUGGCACCCGUGGGUGAGCAGCACCACCCAACACCCAUGGGUGGUGGGGA
rnacentral:lncRNA from 1 species